GACGAGCGCUGGCGGCGUGCCUAAUACAUGCAAGUCGAGCGCAGGAAAUCAUCCGAACCCUCGGGGGGGACGUUGAUGGAAUGAGCGGCGGACGGGUGAGUAACACGUAAAGAACCUGCCCUCAGGUCUGGGAUAACCACGAGAAAUCGGGGCUAAUACCGGAUGGGUCAUCGGACCGCAUGGUCCGAGGAUGAAAGGCGCUUCGGCGUCGCCUGGGGAUGGCUUUGCGGUGCAUUAGCUAGUUGGCGGGGUAAUGGCCCACCAAGGCGACGAUGCGUAGCCGACCUGAGAGGGUGAUCGGCCACACUGGGACUGAGACACGGCCCAGACUCCUACGGGAGGCAGCAGUAGGGAAUCUUCCACAAUGGACGAAAGUCUGAUGGAGCAACGCUGCGUGAACGAUGAAGGCCUUCGGGUCGUAAAGUUCUGUUGUAAGGGAAGAACAAGUGCCGCAGGCAAUGGCGGCACCUUGACGGUACCUUGCGAGAAAGCCACGGCUAACUACGUGCCAGCCGCCGCGGUAACAC
rnacentral:rRNA from 1 species